CGGUUUGCCGCAUGUCCUCCGGGAUGGUGGGGACACUGUUGGGACCGCCUCUGCUAAAGAGGAGGAAGGAAUGGGCAACGGUAGGUCAGCAUGCCCCGAAUUAUCCGGGCUACACGCGGGCUACAAUGGGCAGGACAAUGGGUUUCGACACCGAAAGGUGAAGGCAAUCUCUUAAACCUGCUCGUAGUUCGGAUUGCGGGUUGCAACUCGCCCGCAUGAAGCUGGAAUCUGUAGUAAUCGCGUCUCAAAAUGGCGCGGUGAAUAUGUCCCUGCUCCUUGCACAAAAAUCCUCUGCCUUGGGUCCCUGCUCCUUGCACACCAACAGCAUAUUUCGGAUAUAAGUCUCUAUUUUUUCAAUUGUACAC
rnacentral:rRNA from 1 species